GACAAGGCCUGGGAACCCCACACAGCCUGCAACAGGACCCUAAAGGAUGGCGGCGGCCGGAUGGCUCUUCCUACGGCGACAGCAGAAGCGGAGGCAGCCAAAACGCAAUGGGAGGAUGAAGGUGCUCCUGCGGCUGAUGCAGGCAUAGCGGACGCUUGUGCGAACGCCGAGGAGGACGAGCCGUGGAGCGCCAAGGCUAGGACGCGAGGAUCCGGCUCAAGGGAUGCUAGCGCAUGUGCCUCGGGAGGGAACCCAGGGAACGCCACCUACAAAGGGGGGAGGGCCAACCUGGUUAGGUGGAGAGACAGGUGAGGAGUCGCCGGGCCAAAGGUGGCGGGAGGCCUGAGGAGAGACCUUGGGAGGGAGGGGAGGAGGUGGCCCAGGGUGGGCGGAAGGAGUCUCGCUUGCGGGCUGACGAUUGAAACAGGUAGCCCCAUCAGCCAGAUGGGGGAGAGGACACCCCCUACCCUAGGGCCCUGGGCUGGGACCUGGAGAGAGGGUGGACUAGGCACCCGUCACACCCCUCUCGGGGUAAUAUACCACCAGGAAUCCAAGGCGGCCCCACGGCUGAGGCCAUAUUGUGAGUUCGUGGGUAGAAAAAACAAAGGGGACCAGACAUGAGGGAACCCAUUCACAGUCCGUGUCUAUCACUCUUUCUGAUGUGUCUCUUCAUGGUGUCUCUGAGUCACAAUGGUUGAAGUGCAGAGCCCAUCUAAUUCUGCACUUAUUUCUCCUUUUAGUGGUCAUGAGUUUACAAAAAUAUAUUCCAUAACUUCCAAGAAUUCAAGCAAAAACUGCAAAUGCAAAACUUACUUCUGGAAGCAGUGAGCAGCAUUUACACUCAGCUACCUCAAACUAUAUCUUUCAAAAACUUGGAUGGAUGCACUCAGCCCUAGAAACAAAUGCUCCUGACAGGUUCGAAGAAAUGUGAAUUAAAGAGUAUGUGGUGUCAACUUACCUAUAUUCAGGAAUUUGGGAUGACGUGCAUUCUGAGGUGAAGAUGCUUGUGCUAAGGAAAGCACUAGCCGCAGCAU